rnacentral:rRNA from 1 species
AGUGAACGCUGGCGGUAGGCCUAACACAUGCAAGUCGAACGGCAGCACAGUAAGAGCUUGCUCUUACGGGUGGCGAGUGGCGGACGGGUGAGGAAUACAUCGGAAUCUACUUUUUCGUGGGGGAUAACGUAGGGAAACUUACGCUAAUACCGCAUACGACCUACGGGUGAAAGCAGGGGAUCUUCGGACCUUGCGCGAUUGAAUGAGCCGAUGUCGGAUUAGCUAGUUGGCGGGGUAAAGGCCCACAAAGGCGACGAUCCGUAGCUGGUCUGAGAGGAUGAUCAGCCACACUGGAACUGAGACACGGUCCAGACUACUACGGGAGGCAGCAGUGGGGAAUAUUGGACAAUGGGCGCAAGCCUGAUCCAGCCAUACCGCGUGGGUGAAGAAGACCUUCGGGUUGUAAAGCCCUUUUGUUGGGAAAGAAAAGCAGCAGGUUAAUACCCCGCUGUUCUGACGGUACCCAAAGAAUAAGCACCGGCUAACUUCGUG